rnacentral:rRNA from 1 species
GAGUGAACGCUGGCGGUAGGCCUAACACAUGCAAGUCGAACGGCAGCACAGUAAGAGCUUGCUCUUACGGGUGGCGAGUGGCGGACGGGUGAGGAAUACAUCGGAAUCUACUUUUUCGUGGGGGAUAACGUAGGGAAACUUACGCUAAUACCGCAUACGACCUACGGGUGAAAGCAGGGGAUCUUCGGACCUUGCGCGAUUGAAUGAGCCGAUGUCGGAUUAGCUAGUUGGCGGGGUAAAGGCCCACCAAGGCGACGAUCCGUAGCUGGUCUGAGAGGAUGAUCAGCCACACUGGAACUGAGACACGGUCCAGACUCCUACGGGAGGCAGCAGUGGGGAAUAUUGGACAAUGGGCGCAAGCCUGAUCCAGCCAUACCGCGUGGGUGAAGAAGGCCUUCGGGUUGUAAAGCCCUUUUGUUGGGAAAGAAAAGCAGCAGGUUAAUGCCCCGCUGUUCUGACGGUACCCAAAGAAUAAGCACCGGCUAACUUCGUG